rnacentral:lncRNA from 1 species
AGUACUAUUAAAGCAUCAAACAUGAAGACCUAGAGAAGAAGGAAGGCCCAGGGCUCAAACUGCGCCUCUGGGGUUCCUGGCGCGCGGCGAUCAGGGGCCAUCGAAAGGCCAGAGGAGGGCCCAACGCAGACGUUUGUUUUCAUCUUCUCCAAGGCGGAUCUCGCAGGCCAGAGAAGUGGGUCCCGCUUACCGCGGGGCUGUUACCAAAAAAGGCCUUUCUCUCGCUGGAGCGCUUGGCGGCGCGCGUUGCAGCAGGGUGACGCGAGGUUCAGCCCGGGCCUCCUUGAAGGUUGAGCCAGCUGACUGCAGGGCUGCCAGGCCAAGAGCCCCCCCUCCGCAACACACACACACACCCGCGCCCCGUCUCUGCCACAAAACGGCGGGGGCAGGAGAGAGAGUGCAGGGAGCUUCGAAGUGCGCGCCUGGCGACCUUCUCACCACUAGUAACCUUGGGCUAUGGUGCUCCGGCAAGGCCAGGUGGAAAGCUGACCUUUUGCUCCAGUUUAGAGCAGGGUUCUCUGAGGAUGCCAGCCCAGAUGGCAAGCUGGGUGGGGAAAGCGACAGUAGGAAGGAACUUUGGGAAGAUGAUGCCGCCGUUUGGCGCCCGGCUCUGCUAGUCUCUGCUUGUCUCCCAGACCCCAUGGACAGAGUUCUUUGAGUCUCUACACCUGGCAGUUUACGUUGAGGCUCCUCCACCUCCACCACCCCCCUCCCAAAUCCUUUCCAGUUCCUUUCCACCGUUGUCAUAGUUUUGUUCCACGGGACUCUUCUUCAGGGAGAAAACCCACCUCCAGAACACUGGAGUUCUAGCCUCUCACCGUCUCUCACACAUCCCCAAACGGCCAUCUCAGGCAACAAGAGAUACCACAAAUGAUGUUGAUUCUUUUUUUUGGUUGGGGGGGGGGGGGCGGUUUGGAGACAGCUGUGUUUUAUAAAUGAAAGGAUUAUGAGUCUGUAAUGGAAGUCUGUUUAAAUACACGUUGAUUUCUAACUCAGUGUGUCUGAAGGCACCCCAGCAUGUAUGUGUGUAUAUAUAUCUCCUUUAGUAACAGUGAAGACAGAGACAGACAGGGAGAUGGAGACAUAUGUGUGUGCAUACCAAACAUAACACCAUGACAUAGAAUCCAACUUGCUUUCUCUAGCAGCCUGGCUGGAGGGUUGUGGCUAAGUUGCUAUUUCCCUAAUAUUUUUGGUUUAAUAAAGGGAAGGGCUGAAUAAAUAUUAAUGUAAAGAAAUGGGUCACCCAACCGAG